rnacentral:lncRNA from 1 species
GGUAAUCAGAUGGGCUGGUCACGUACAGAUUGGUGUGCGAUUUGUGAUGCCACUCAACAAGUGGCAUUACAUACUAAAGUGUACCUCCGAAUCCAAGUGCGCAUUAGGUCUGGCACAGCACCCGUGGACACCAACACAAGCUGGGGAAAGAAGCCCGACUGGGCAGGCCUGCCGGACUAUCUCUGAUGCAUCUGGGAAGCUUCUGGCAACACCAGAGA